rnacentral:tRNA from 1 species
GAGGGUAUAGCUCAAGUGGUAGAGUGCAUGCUUAGCAUGCAUGAGGUCCUGGGUUCAAUACCUUCA